AAGUCGUAACAAGGUCUCCGUAGGUGAACCUGCGGAGGGAUCAUUACAGAGUUCAUGCCCUAACCGGGUAGAUUCUCCCGCCCUAUGUUAUCAUGCCAUGUUGCUUUGGCGGGCCGUCGGGCUCAUCGCUCGGCUACCGGCUUCCGGCUGGUAAGCGCCCGCCAUGAGGACCUCAAACCCCUGAAUAUUCGUGUCGUCUGAGUACCUAUAUAAUAGUUAAAA
rnacentral:misc_RNA from 1 species